AAGAUUAAGCCAUGCAUGCCUAAGUAUAAGCAAUUUGUACAGUGAAACUGCGAAUGGCUCAUUAAAUCAGUUAUCGUUUAUUUGAUAGUUCCUUUACUACAUGGUAUAACUGUGGUAAUUCUAGAGCUAAUACACGCUUAAAAUCUCGACCCUUUGGAAGAGACGUAUUUAUUAGAUAAAAAUACAAUGUCUUCGGACUCUUUGAUGAUUCAUAAUAACUUUUCGAAUCGCAU
rnacentral:rRNA from 1 species